rnacentral:rRNA from 1 species
AGAGUUUGAUCCUGGCUCAGGAUAAACGCUGGCGGCGUGCCUAACACAUGCAAGUCGAACGUUCUCCCGAUCUACGGAGAGGGAGGGAGUGGCGGACGGGUGAGUAACACAUGGGUGACCUGGCCUUCGGUGAGGGAUACCGGCGAGAAAUUGCCGACAAGCCCGCAUGAGGUCUGCCUGGUAGAGCAGGCAGAGCAAAG